rnacentral:rRNA from 1 species
GAACAGUCAAUCCUACUUGGAUAACUGUGGUAAUUCUAGAGCUAAUACAUGCACCCAAGCCCCGACUCGGGGGGCAACUCUCGAGAAAGGGCGCUUUUAUUAGAUCAAAACCAGUCGAGAGCUUCGGCUCUCGUUAAGUUUGGUGACUCUGGAUAACUUCACGCUAAUCGCACGGUCUUCGCACCGGCGACGAUUCUUUCAAAUGUCUGCCUUAUCAACUGUCGAUGGUAGGUUAUGCGCCUACCAUGGUUGCAACGGGUAACGGGGAAUCGGGGUUCGAUUCCGGAGAGGGAGCCUGAGAAACGGCUACCACAUCCAAGGAAGGCAGCAGGCGCGCAAAUUACCCACUCCCGGCACGGGGAGGUAGUGACGAAAAAUAACGAUACGGGACUCUUCCGAGGCCCCGUGAUUGGAAUGAGUACACUUUAAAUCCUUUAACGAGGACCCAUUGGAGGGCAAGUCUGGUGCCAGCAGCCGCGGUAACUCCAGCUCCAAUAGCGUAUAUUAAAGUUGUUGCGGUUAAAAAGCUCGUAGUCGGAGUUCUGUCUUCGGCCGAGGGGGGAUUCUGCCUACACGGUAUGAGUCUCGUUCCCUUCGGGUGUGCGGUGUCAAAGCCGUGCACUCUUAACGGUCGGACAAGUCCGUCGGAGUGUGGUUAUUGUUGGAAGGGCAACCGACCAAUGAGGCCACCGUAAUCGUUCGGGGUGCCUUUAAUCGGGUGUCUCGGGCGGCCGACAUAGUUUACUUUGAACAAAUUAGAGUGCUCAAAGCAGGUGACUACCGCCUGAAUAGUACAGCAUGGAAUGAUGAAAGAGGACCUCGGUCUGAUUUUGCUGGUCUUUAACGGUCGGGCUUCGGCCCGGCCUAUGCAGACCCGAGGUAAUGGUCAAUAGAGACGGGCGGGGGCAUCCGUACUGCGGCGACAGAGGUGAAAUUCUUGGACCGCCGCAAGACGAACGACAGCGAAGGCAUUUGCCAAGAAUGUUUUCCUUGAUCAAGGUCGAAAGUUAGAGGUUCGAAGGCGAUCAGAUACCGCCCUAGUUCUAACCAUAAACGAUGCCAACUAGCGAUCCGCCGGUGUUACUCCCAUGACUCGGCGGGCAGCUUCCGGGAAACCAAAGUCUUUGGGUUCCGGGGGAAGUAUGGUUGCAAAGCUGAAACUUAAAGGAAUUGACGGAAGGGCACCACCAGGAGUGGAGCCUGCGGCUUAAUUUGACACAACACGGGAAACCUCACCAGGCCCGGACACUGGAAGGAUUGACAGAUUGAGAGCUCUUUCUUGAUUCGGUGGGUGGUGGUGCAUGGCCGUUCUUAGUUGGUGGAGCGAUUUGUCUGGUUAAUUCCGAUAACGAACGAGACUCUGCCUGCUAAAUAGGUGCCGGG